rfam:Equus caballus chromosome 14, whole genome shotgun sequence.
GUCUACGGCCAUGCCACCCUGAACACGCCUGAUCUCGUCUGAUCUCAGAAGCCAAGCAGGGUUGGGCCUGGUUAGUACUCGGAUGGGAGACAUAAAUGAGGGGGACGCUGCUGUUGGCA